GAUGAACGCUGGCGGCGUGCCUAAUACAUGCAAGUCGAGCGAACAGACGAGGAGCUUGCUCCUCUGACGUUAGCGGCGGACGGGUGAGUAACACGUGGAUAACCUACCUAUAAGACUGGGAUAACUUCGGGAAACCGGAGCUAAUACCGGAUAACAUGUUGAACCGCAUGGUUCAACAGUGAAAGACGGUCUUGCUGUCACUUAUAGAUGGAUCCGCGCCGCAUUAGCUAGUUGGUAAGGUAACGGCUUACCAAGGCAACGAUGCGUAGCCGACCUGAGAGGGUGAUCGGCCACACUGGAACUGAGACACGGUCCAGACUCCUACGGGAGGCAGCAGUAGGGAAUCUUCCGCAAUGGACGAAAGCCUGACGGAGCAACGCCGCGUGAGUGAAGAAGGUCUUCGGAUCGUAAAACUCUGUUAUUAGGGAAGAACAAAUGUGUAAGUAACUAUGCACGUCUUGACGGUACCUAAUCAGAAAGCCACGGCUAACUACGUGCCAGCAGCCGCGGUAAUACGUAGGUGGCAAGCGUUAUCCGGAAUUAUUGGGCGUAAAGCGCGCGUAGGCGGUUUUUUAAGUCUGAUGUGAAAGCCCACGGCUCAACCGUGGAGGGUCAUUGGAAACUGGAAAACUUGAGUGCAGAAGAGGAAAGUGGAAUUCCAUGUGUAGCGGUGAAAUGCGCAGAGAUAUGGAGGAACACCAGUGGCGAAGGCGACUUUCUGGUCUGUAACUGACGCUGAUGUGCGAAAGCGUGGGGAUCAAACAGG
rnacentral:rRNA from 1 species